rnacentral:rRNA from 1 species
CNAUGCAGUCGAGCGGUUGACGGGAGCUUGCUCCCUGAUUCAGCGGCGGACGGGUGAGUAAUGCCUAGGAAUCUGCCUAUUAGUGGGGGACAACGUUUCGAAAGGAACGCUAAUACCGCAUACGUCCUACGGGAGAAAGCAGGGGACCUUCGGGCCUUGCGCUAAUAGAUGAGCCUAGGUCGGAUUAGCUAGUUGGUGAGGUAAUGGCUCACCAAGGCGACGAUCCGUAACUGGUCUGAGAGGAUGAUCAGUCACACUGGAACUGAGACACGGUCCAGACUCCUACGGGAGGCAGCAGUGGGGAAUAUUGGACAAUGGGCGAAAGCCUGAUCCAGCCAUGCCGCGUGUGUGAAGAAGGUCUUCGGAUUGUAAAGCACUUUAAGUUGGGAGGAAGGGUUGUAGAUUAAUACUCUGCAAUUUUGACGUUACCGACAGAAUAAGCACCGGCUAACUCUGUGCCAGCAGCCGCGGUAAUACAGAGGGUGCAAGCGUUAAUCGGAAUUACUGGGCGUAAAGCGCGCGUAGGUGGUUUGUUAAGUUGGAUGUGAAAGCCCCGGGCUCAACCUGGGAACUGCAUCCAAAACUGGCAAGCUAGAGUACGGUAGAGGGUGGUGGAAUUUCCUGUGUAGCGGUNNA